CGUCCAUGGCGAUGACCCCCUCGAUGGUCUGGAAGGAGGAGCAGGCCAAAGUGCAUAGGCUCCAGUCCAGGAAACUCGCCAUCUUCUUCUGCUUAACGUCGGGCCGCGUGACAAACCUGCCAAAAGGGGACAGACACGAGCCUCCUGUCCUGACCAGGAGCCCCCACAGGCCCCUCUUCCCUCAAAACAGCCACCGCCGCCCCACGCGAGAUGCUCAGCCAGCGCAGGGAUUACACUGCGGCCAUGUAGAAGGUCUCCGUGUCAGUAAAACAAAGCUGCCACGACUGUCUUCGCCCACCUCCAUCAGGGUACACACCCAGAGACUUGGUCACCAAGGAUUUACCAAACUUUAGGAUGCUGGUUACAAAGGCGAACUCACAUGCCACCCCCGCCAGCCAAGAAGUUGCGUUACGGCGGGUCUGAGAAGAGGGCCCAGGAAUUUCAUAAAAUCUGCACCUCAGAGUGAUCAUCUAAAAUGGAUAACUGGUAUUAUACACCCUAUCUCAAUGUCCUUGGCCCUGUUCAAAGCUCCUUGAUUCUGGAGGGGGCCACAGGAUGAGGGUCACACCUACAGUGACCUGAUCCUCAGCCUGAAGACAACAGCCGGCCGGCACUCACCCUGCAUGUGGGCAGGCACAGCGCCUGCAGUGGGGUGGCCCUCAGGACAGGCGAGGUCACAGGCACAGAACGGCCCACAGGGCCGGUAAGCGGCCCUGCUGGGACCCAAAGCCCAACUUGGAGACGUGAGUCACAGCGCCAUCCACUCAGGGGCCACGCACCCUGCUUCCUCCACCCACUCAUCUGCUGAGCAGGCAGGAGGCUGAUGUUCUGUGUGCAGCCUGUAGCGGCCAACUUCCUUUCCUGGGCAAAAUCACACAAGGUGAGUUUCCAAAUUACAGUAAAAACCUAAGGUUCCUUUGAAAGAUUUAAGCAAAUAGGUUAUUUUAUAUUUUUUAUUUUUCUCUCUAAAAAAAGGAAUGUUAUGUUCGCAGCAGAGGUCCAAAAGUACAGAUAAGCAAAAAUGGAAAAUACCUAUCCCACAAGUGUAACACACAGAACGAGACCCUUCUACACAAACUGAAAGAUCUCUGAAUCCUACACUUCCUUCCCUUUUAGGAAAAGUUACAU